rnacentral:rRNA from 1 species
UAAUACGUAGGAGGCUAGCGUUGUCCGGAUUUACUGGGCGUAAAGGGGGCGCAGGUGGCUGAGUAGGUCCGUGGUGCAAGCUCCAGGCUUAACUUGGAGAGGUCUACGGAAACCGCUUGGCUUGAGGGCGGUAGAGGAGCACGGAAUUCCAGGUGUAGUGGUGAAAUGCGUAGAUAUCCGGAGGAACACCUGAGGCGAAAGCGGUGCUCUGGGCCGUUCCUGACACUCAGGCCCGAAAGCGUGGGGAGCAAACUGGAUUAGAUACCCAGGUAGUCCACGCCCUAAACGAUGGAUGCUAGAUAUGGGGGGUAUCGACCCCCCCCGUGUCGUAGCUUACGCGUUAAGCAUCCCGCCUGGGAACUACGGCCGCAAGGCUA